ensembl:lncRNA
AUGAAUAAUGUACUUUUGAAAAUUCUAAACCUUUUUAUUUCUAAAUUAAGGUUCAAAACAGAUCCCACCUUAUUUAUUUUGCUGCUUUAUUUUGUAGGCCAAGAUUGGGCAACUGAUAUUCAGUCUCGUGCACUACCUGAGCCAGUCUUGACUGAAACAGGAAUCACAUCAAAAGACCUAGCAAUUGACAUGGCCUUCAGAGGAUCUUGGACAGCGUCAAGAGAGGAUGAGACAUACUCAACUGCAUACCUGCAAAGGAAUUCAGAACCUGUAGGUAAACAGCCUAUUUCAGAUUCUCAAAGACUGAAAUAUUCGAGUAAUUACUCCUACAAGGUUUUUUUUUUUUUUUUUUUUUUUUUUUUUUUUUUUGAGACGGAGUCUCACUCUGUCGCCCAGGCUGGAGUGUAGUGGCGCAAUGUCAGCUCACUGCAAGCUCCGCUUCCUGGGUUCAUGCCAUUCUCCUGCCUCAGUCUCCCAAGUAGCUGGGACUACAGGCGCCCACCAACACGCCUGGCUAAUUUUUGUGUGUGUGUUUUUCAGUAGAAUGGGGUUUCACUGUGUUAAUCAGGAUGGUCUCGAUCUCCUGACCUCGUGAUCCGCCUGCCUCGGCCGCCCAAAGUGCUGGGAUUACAGGCGUGAGCCACCGCACCCGGCCUCCUACAUUGUUUUAAUCACUCAUGCUACAGGCUUAAGAAGCUUAAGGAAAAGCAUGCAAGAUAUCACUCUCCUAGUGUGGAACAAAAGGAAACCUUUAUCUUGUCUGUUUUAAUUUCCCAGAUUUCCUACCUUCUCAUUUUAUCAUAUGCAUUUUUCAGCGUUAACUGGUCAGUGCCAAUCACAUUUACCUCAUGUAUUAUUGUCUGAUAUUCAAAUUCUCUCUGGUGCUUCUUUUAAUGACAUGUCCAGUCUUCUGUUGGGACACAAUUCUGCCCAUGUUGCUCAUUUCUUAAUUUCCCUGCCCCUACCCUCUCUCUUUAUUGCAAAGUAUCACUUGCGACUAAAUGAGAUUUUUUGCCUGUUGUUUGUUUUUAAGCCUUCGACUGUCCUGCUGCGCAAUUUCCAGCUGAAGUUAUAAUCUUCUGUUUGGGAUACCAUAGUUGAUUACUGUUGAAAUGACUGUAAUACUCAUUAUACACCAUUUGUUGGAAGAGUGGCAGAAGACUGUGAUUAAAUAAAAAUUGGCUUGGAUCAUGCUUCCAACUUCUACCACAUUACUUUAAGAACGUAAUCAAAAUUUUGCUGUUGGUGUUUCUAGAUGUUUUUCUCAAUCACUUGCUUGGUCAGUACAAAUGUGGUAGAUUGAAUUAUUGACUCCAUUAUUUACCACUGCAGGAAUCUACAUGCUUCUCCACAGACCUUUGUACUUCCUCUCACUAUAGACUGAGUAGACCCUUUGAUCUCAGUCAUGUGACUUGCUUUAGUCAAGAAGGCUUGAAAUGUGCUUGCAUAGAUGGGCUUAUCCUCUCACACCUCUGCCACCUUUGUAAAAAGAAGCUGUCCUGUUAUGAUUUUGUACCAAGGAAGAUGAUGGAUACAGAAGCAUAUUUGGACCCACCUCACAUCCUGGCAUCCAUGGCAGACUGGAAAGCCAGUUCUGUGCCUACUCACACACAUGUAAGAGAGAAUAAAUGGUUGCUUUCAGCCAGCAUUAGGACUGUUUAU